UGAGUUCAACUACCAGUGGCCAAUGAUUUAAUCAAACGUGCCCAUGUAAUGAAGCCUCCAUAAAACCCCAAAAGGACAAGGUUCAGAGAGCUUCUGGAUUGGUGGACACAUGGACAUCUGGGGAGAGCACUGUGCUUGGAGACAGCAAGCCUUCCUUCCCCGAUAUCUUGCCCUAUGCAUCUCUUCCAUAGGGCUGUGCUUGAGUUAUAUCUUUUUACAACAAAUUGGUGAUCUAGAUAUAUAUCACCAAUUACGAUCGGUCCUCACCGCUUCAGCCUGGCUUGGUUUAUCUUCACACUGGAAAGAUCAUUUGGCUUGCCCAUCUCUUUUCAAGCAGCAAUUUGUUAAAAAAAAAAAUCAGUGAAUACAGCACAAAACUGUAGGCGGUCUUGGCCAUCUCUCAGUCCUAUCAAACAUUGUGAAAAUGAUCAGCAGGGCAAGAGUUGCAUCUGAAACCUACUUGAAUCCUCUGACAAGACUCUAUGAGAAACGAUUCAAUCCAAAGAAGAGCUGGGGUGGAUUUCAAAAGACAUGACAUCCCCUUUCCCAAAUAAUUCAGCCAUAAUUUUGGGGAGACAGAGGGCCGCCAUUUUGAAAAUGGUGUCAAUUCUAUGAUUGGUCACUUUUGGGAGAUUCUAUACCUUGGGAGGUAAUGAGGGUGAAGAAUUGAACUAAAAUUAGGGCUAAACAGUUCCAGAGAAAACAGAUGUGACCUGACCCUUUUCUUUGUUAGGUGAUUGCAGUGGUUCUGAAACUCAGAGUCAGCAUCACUUUGGGGGUUUAGAAACUCUUAGAUUCCUCAGAUUCUGAUUCUGUAGGUCUGGUGGGGCCCGAUUGUAUGUCUAUAUGUGGCUCUGAUGGCAAUUUCCCUUCUUUCUGAGAUUAUCUAUUUGGGAAAAAAGUUUUGGUCUCAGCACAGUUGCUUCCUGGCGCCUCUCCGCUAACCUGUGCGAAGGCUUCCUUUGCCUCUGAUCACUGUUCCUCACCUUCCGGCUGGCAGUGGAGGGUGGACAUGGGCACGAUGCUCUUGGCUGCCAGACCUCAAAUCCCCAGUGAUUUCCCUCUGAGGAAAUAGAGGUUUACCCCAGAACACAAACAACUCUGCCUUGAAUAUUAUACAUCACUGUAUACUCUUUGGCCCAUUGUUAUGGGUUGAAUUGUGUCCCACCAAAAAAGAUAUGUUGGAGUCCUAAUCCCUUUGGAAUGUGACCUUUUAGAAUCUUUACAGAGGUAAUGAGUUAAAAUAAGGUCGUGAGGGUGGGCCCUAAUCUACUAUGACUGAUACCUUUAUAAGAAGAGGAAAUGUGGGCACAGGUGCACAUACAGGGAGAGCGCCAUGUAAGCAUGAAGGUGGCCAACUACAAGCCAAGUUGAGGAGCUUGGACCAGAUUCUCCCUUGUGGCCCUUAGAGGGACCAAUGCUGCUGACACCUUAGUCUUGGACUUGUAGAUUAAGAACUAGGAGACAAUAAAUUUCUUUCGUUUAAGUCA